AGCAACCAUCACCACCUCCCAAUAAGUCCCAUACCUCUCUCUCCUAUUCUUUUUUUAUCUCGGAGCCCUGAUUUUAACCCUCUAGGUGUCACUCUCUCUUAAGAGAUCCUACACUUCCUGCCAUCGACUUAACCGCCGUCGUCUCCAUCAUCAUCUCCAACUUAAACAACCAAUUUGAUAACGCCCAACCCCCUGCUGCGACGACGAAACCCUAGAUGUGUUCGAGCUCGAUUACAAACUGGUAUGUAUGUAGUUCAUAAUCGCCCAAUGGAGGAGGAGAAGAAGAACAAAAAUGUGAUUCGAUUGGAGCGGGAGAUCGUAAUUCUAAUUCUGAAGCCGAAACUCAUCAUGACGUUGGCCAAUCUCAUUGAUGCUAUGCUUGCCUUCAUCCAAGGGCUGUGAACUGCUGGAAGAAGAAGUGUGGCUAUAGCAACCAGCUUAGGCCCAAGAAGAAGAACAAGUGAAUACUAGUGAAAUUUCUGCAUCUAGAGGUGGAUCUGGAGCGUUGAAUUCUAAACAAAAUAUUUCCUAAAUAAAAGUUUGCUUCUUGUGGAAUGCAUGCCUGUGAAGAAUGCGACUAACUUUAGUUUUUGUUACCUACGGAGAAUGAUGAGGAAAACUUUUGUUUUUGGUUUAUGUUAUUUUAAAUUAUGAACAACAGUAUGUAUUUAAACAUUAUAUAUGUAUUAUGGAAUAUUAUGUAGUGGGUUAAUUUUGCUAAUGUGUAGUUAUGAAUGCAAGAAUAUUUUUAUUA